rnacentral:misc_RNA from 1 species
CUAAAGCCAGAUCAGUUACAUCAGUCAGAAUAUUUGCUGUCAAAACUGAAGCAGUAACACAAGAGUUGGCAAACUCAGCUUUAUCUGGAUGCUUGAUCAAUUGAACAAGUAGUUGGAAGAGUUCCUUGUUUGAGCAGAUUUCUUGUGAAUAAUCAUCAAUGACUGAAAGCGCUUCAACAGUCUGAAGAAUCAAAUCUAGAAUGGAAUACCUUUCAGGUAAUCUUUCUUCAGG